GGGGGCGACAUGGCUUCGACGGGUAAAAUGUUAGCUUAUGGUUGCAUGUCGAGGGUCUCUAGUAACCUCGUAAAUCAGCUAGGGAAACUAAUAAGUGCCGAUUACGGUUACUCUGCUGCUGCUUAGUUAAUUAAUUAAGCAAAAGCCAUCUCUUUUAACUUUUGUAUACUGAGUUUUAUAGAGGUGUCAUUUAAAUAUACUAGCUUAUUAAUUGUCCUACCAUUAAUAAGUGAAUAUCUAUUUCGGUAGAUUUGUAGGAUCGUCUAAACAAGUUUGUUUAUUUAUAAAGUUUAGAUUAAAUCCUAAAAUAAACUAAACAUGUAGAUACUCUAAGUAAGCUUUAUGCGGACGUGGGUUCGAUUCCCACCGCCUCCACAA
rnacentral:tmRNA from 1 species